UGCAAGUCGAGGGGUAACAGAAAAGCUUGCUUUUGCUGACGACCGGCGCACGGGUGUGUAACGCGUAUGCAACCUACCUCAUACUGGAGGAUAGCCCCUGGAAACGGGGAUUAAUACUCCAUAGUAUCACAAUUUCGCAUGUUAUUGUGAUUAAAGUUUUUCGGUAUGAGAUGGCAUGCGUCCCAUUAGCUUGUUGGUGAGGUAACGGCUCACCAAGGCAACGAUGGGUAGGGGGCCUGAGAGGGUGGUCCCCCACACUGGUACUGAGACACGGACCAGACUCCUACGGGAGGCAGCAGUGAGGAAUAUUGGUCAAUGGAGGAAACUCUGAACCAGCCAUGCCGCGUGAAGGAUGACGGCCCUAUGGGUUGUAAACUUCUUUUAUAGAGGAAGAAACUUGUCUACGUGUAGACAACUGACGGUACUCUACGAAUAAGGAUCGGCUAACUCCGUGCCAGCAGCCGCGGUAAUACGGAGGAUCCAAGCGUUAUCCGGAUUCAUUGGGUUUAAAGGGUCCGUAGGCGGAUUUUUAAGUCAGUGGUGAAAGCCGACAGCUCAACUGUCGAACUGCCAUUGAUACUGGAAAUCUUGAGUACCAAAUGAAGUAGGCGGAAUGAGUCAUGUAGCGGUGAAAUGCAUAGAUAUGACUUCAGAACACCGAUUGCGAAGGCAGCUUACUAACAUGUAACUGACGCUGAGGGACGAAAGCGUGGGGAGCGAACAGGAUUAGAUACCCUGGUAGUCCACGCCGUAAACGAUCAUCACUCGCUGUUGGCGAUAUACUGUCAGCGGCCAAGCGAAAGUAUUAAGUGAUGCACCUGGGGAGUACGCCGGCAACGGUGAAACUCAAAGGAAUUGACGGGGGCCCGCACAAGCGGUGGAGCAUGUG
rnacentral:rRNA from 1 species